rnacentral:rRNA from 1 species
ACCGAUAGUGAACCAGUACCGUGAGGGAAAGGCGAAAAGAACCCCGGCGAGGGGAGUGAAAAAGAACCUGAAACCGUGUACGUACAAGCAGUGGGAGCACAGAGCAAUCUGUGUGACUGCGUACCUUUUGUAUAAUGGGUCAGCGACUUAUAUUCUGUAGCAAGGUUAACCGAAUAGGGGAGCCGAAGGGAAACCGAGUCUUAACUGGGCGUUAAGUUGCAGGGUAUAGACCCGAAACCCGGUGAUCUAGCCAUGGGCAGGUUGAAGGUUGGGUAACACUAACUGGAGGACCGAACCGACUAAUGUUGAAAAAUUAGCGGAUGACUUGUGGCUGGGGGUGAAAGGCCAAUCAAACCGGGAGAUAGCUGGUUCUCCCCGAAAGCUAUUUAGGUAGCGCCUCGUGAAUUCAUCUCCGGGGGUAGAGCACUGUUUCGGCAAGGGGGUCAUCCCGACUUACCAACCCGAUGCAAACUGCGAAUACCGGAGAAUGUUAUCACGGGAGACACACGGCGGGUGCUAACGUCCGUCGUGAAGAGGGAAACAACCCAGACCGCCAGCUAAGGUCCCAAAGUCAUGGUUAAGUGGGAAACGAUGUGGGAAGGCCCAGACAGCCAGGAUGUUGGCUUAGAAGCAGCCAUCAUUUAAAGAAAGCGUAAUAGCUCACUGGUCGAGUCGGCCUGCGCGGAAGAUGUAACGGGGCUAAACCAUGCACCGAAGCUGCGGCAGCGACGCUUAUGCGUUGUUGGGUAGGGGAGCGUUCUGUAAGCCUGUGAAGGUGUACUGUGAGGUAUGCUGGAGGUAUCAGAAGUGCGAAUGCUGACAUAAGUAACGAUAAAGCGGGUGAAAAGCCCGCUCGCCGGAAGACCAAGGGUUCCUGUCCAACGUUAAUCGGGGCAGGGUGAGUCGACCCCUAAGGCGAGGCCGAAAGGCGUAGUCGAUGGGAAACAGGUUAAUAUUCCUGUACUUGGUGUUACUGCGAAGGGGGGACGGAGAAGGCUAUGUUGGCCGGGCGACGGUUGUCCCGGUUUAAGCGUGUAGGCUGGUUUUCCAGGCAAAUCCGGAAAAUCAAGGCUGAGGCGUGAUGACGAGGCACUACGGUGCUGAAGCAACAAAUGCCCUGCUUCCAGGAAAAGCCUCUAAGCAUCAGGUAACAUCAAAUCGUACCCCAAACCGACACAGGUGGUCAGGUAGAGAAUACCAAGGCGCUUGAGAGAACUCGGGUGAAGGAACUAGGCAAAAUGGUGCCGUAACUUCGGGAGAAGGCACGCUGAUAUGUAGGUGAAGUCCCUCGCGGAUGGAGCUGAAAUCAGUCGAAGAUACCAGCUGGCUGCAACUGUUUAUUAAAAACACAGCACUGUGCAAACACGAAAGUGGACGUAUACGGUGUGACGCCUGCCCGGUGCCGGAAGGUUAAUUGAUGGGGUCAGCGCAAGCGAAGCUCUUGAUCGAAGCCCCGGUAAACGGCGGCCGUAACUAUAACGGUCCUAAGGUAGCGAAAUUCCUUGUCGGGUAAGUUCCGACCUGCACGAAUGGCGUAAUGAUGGCCAGGCUGUCUCCACCCGAGACUCAGUGAAAUUGAACUCGCUGUGAAGAUGCAGUGUACCCGCGGCAAGACGGAAAGACCCCGUGAACCUUUACUAUAGCUUGACACUGAACAUUGAGCCUUGAUGUGUAGGAUAGGUGGGAGGCUUUGAAGUGUGGACGCCAGUCUGCAUGGAGCCGGCCUUGAAAUACCACCCUUUAAUGUUUGAUGUUCUAACGUUGACCCGUAAUCCGGGUUGCGGACAGUGUCUGGUGGGUAGUUUGACUGGGGCGGUCUCCUCCUAAAGAGUAACGGAGGAGCACGAAGGUUGGCUAAUCCUGGUCGGACAUCAGGAGGUUAGUGCAAUGGCAUAAGCCAGCUUGACUGCGAGCGUGACGGCGCGAGCAGGUGCGAAAGCAGGUCAUAGUGAUCCGGUGGUUCUG